UACAGAGGUCUCAAGCGUUGUUCGGAUUCAUUGGGCGUAAAGGGCGCGUAGGCGGCGGGGUAAGUCUGGUGUGAAAUCUCGGAGCUCAACUCCGAAAUUGCACUGGAUACUGCUCUGCUUGAGGGUUGGAGAGGAGAUCGGAAAUUCACGGUGUAGCAGUGAAAAUGCGUAGAUAUCGUGAGGAACACCGGUGGCGAAGGCGGCCUUCUGGACAGUGACUGACGCUGAGACGCGAAAGCGUGGGGAGCAAACAGG
rnacentral:rRNA from 1 species